UUUUUUCAAUAAAUUUUUUUAACAGCUUUACUAUUUACAGUUGUAAAUAGUAUUUUAUGUUGUCAAAGCAGCCCAUUAAUUGGUAUAUGCUUUGAUACAAAAAGUUGCUUUAUUAAGCAUCUAACAAGUGCCAUUGGAUUUAUUCAACCAAAAAUCUAGAUUACACCCAGUGAAUUUAAUGAACAGGACUUAGUAUGUUUUUAAGAAUGUAAUCUUUUGGUAGUACUACAGAAUAAACUGCCGUUGUGAAUGGACUAAGCUUUAUUCUUGGGCCAGACAUUCUCCUCUUUCUGAUAGAUUAAAAAAUAUAGAUAUGGGCCAGACUUCGAUACUGCAUAAGCAAAGGUCUUUUUAUUAACAACAACACUGUUGCAGUUUUCAUUUCUACUUGUAGCACUGUAAAACAUUUUAAAGCCACUGGAUACAUAGUAUUGGUGAGGUAAGAAUGAUGUUUCAGAUAGAGAUACAGUUAUAUUUCUUUCCUUAAGCUGGAUUGCAGGAGCAAAAGAAACAAGUAAAAUUUUUAAAACAUCAUAUGGUAAGUGAUUCAACACUGAAAUGAAUUAUUUCUUUGUAGAUGAAAGGGAAGUGACAGAUGAACACAGAGGUUAAAAUAAUAGGUUUUACACAUGCAUGUGUUGGAUUCUUUCACAGAAAAAAUCUAGUCUGUAUAUUUAUUUUUUAGCAAAUUAGGUAAAAAGCAAAUUAGGUACAGUAGACUUUAAAUAUUAAAACCAAUUGCUAGCAGUUUACUACACUGCAAUGCUGAAAUGGUUUGUGGACUUGUGUUCAUAUGAUAAGAUCAGUUAUGUAAAGUACAGAUCUGCCUUUUUGAAGAGUGUUGCUUGUGCAUCUUCUUUCUAAAGUGCAAUCAAUAGGCAUUUUUGACUGAUUGGGAUAAUUCUGUUGUCCAGUUUGUUAUCGUUCAGUGUAUAAAAUGUUCUGCGUGAAUCAAAGGCUUUUCAAAGCAUAGUAGACAGUAAAAAAGAUUAUGUCAAUUUGCAGAAAGUACGCAUUCUGCUGUUAGCUAUCAAAAGUGCGGACCAAUUUUGUUUUGAAGGAAUACUUGUUAAAUUUAUAAGAAUGUAAGAAGUAAUCUAAAAAAUAUCUCUGAAUAAGCAAUAAGUACUCAGAGAGAUAUCAGUAAAAUUAACGUACUUGGUAAUUCUUUUAGUUAUGGCACUGUAGGAGAUUUAGCUGUUGUGUUUUGCAGUUUUUCUGCCUCUUAACAUAGAAAGUAAACAGAUAUGAAACAAAGUGGAUUUUUUUAAUAUUCUUUAUUUUUAGAAUGUAAACAUUUAAAAGGAAAAUGAAUAAUGUUGUGUUCACUAUGGAUAUUUAAAAAGUACAAAUUUGUUAGGGAUGUUUUUUUCUUAGCAUUUGAGCUAAAGUUUUUAAAGUUUUAAUUUUUAAGGUCAAUGGGCAAAUCAAAAUUUUGAAAAAAUAUUUUUUGACUAAAUGAAUUAUUUUUGAAAGUUUGGAAAGUAUUCAUUAAUUUCUCUUGAUAAAAUGCAGAUCAAUUUGUACAAAAGCUCUACUUAUAAACAAAAAGAUUGGAAAGUUCUGAUUCCAAAAUGAUUUUUUAAAACUUUUUACUCUAUCUUCUUUCUGGUUGGGGCAAUUAGAUGGAAUAGAACAUUCUGCACUUAUUAAAACAAACAAGCAAACAAACAAACAAAACCAAAAAAUACCCGACUGUUCACUUUUCAAAGUAGGAAAUACUUGACAUUUCCAGAGUGUCAUCCAAACCUUGUUUUUAGUCCACCUUGACAAAUUUUUUACUCAGGUGUUUAUUUUUCUGGUUGUAUCUGUUAGCCUCAAGUGAACAUAUCUGUCAUACCUGUGAACCCUUUAGAGGGUAACAAAAAACCCUGAAUUUUCUAUCAAAAUAUGGUUGUUAUAGAUAUAAAAAAUUUCUGAAUGUGGAUUUCUACACUUUUUGUCAAGUAAUCUGUUGGAACUGACUAUUUCUGUUCAGUGGUGAAACACAUUUUGUACUUGCCUUUCCAUCAAUGGGGCUGGGCUUCUUGUAUCUGAGGUGCACAGGACAGAAGGAGCAGACAGUGGUGCUAUUGACAGCUGACUUCUAAUGAAAGAAAAUACAGAAAGCACAUUUACCCAGAUGAUAUUGAAUCUAUAUUGUAAGUAAGAUUCCCCAUGUCAGGUCUCAGUUUUGAUUACAUAUUAUUCUUAUCUCAUUAGUAUUAGUCCUAAGCCAUAGUGAUGUCUAAUAAGCUUCUCCUGCACACUAUGCAGUUUUAAGAACACAAGUCUAGAUAAUUAAAUUAAAUAACAGUUCAAUCAUCUAUGGUUUUAUUUAUCAUCCCGUAGACUCUUAGGACUGACAUCCUCUCCUCAGUGACUGCUUAUGCAUCGUAAGAAAUGGUUUUUAUAGCAGAAAGGUAAAGAAGACUUUUCCCUAUUAUAUGAGUAUACAAGUAAAUAGUGCAGCAAAAAUCUUUAGGUAAGAGAUUAGAUACAUAUAGAAUGGGUCCAGAGGAGGGCCAUGAAGAUAGUCAGAGGGCUGGAGCACCUCCCUUAUGAGGACAGGCUGAAAGCGUUGGGAGAAGACUCUGAGGAAACCUAAUAGCAGUCUUCCAGUACCUGAAGGGGGCCUACAGGGAAGCUGGGAAGGGACUUUAUAAGGGCAUGUAGACACAGGACAAAGCGAAAUGGCUUUAAAUAGAAAGAUGGUAAAUUUAGACUAGAUAUUAGAAAGAAAUUCUUUACUGUGAGGGUGGUGAAACACUGGAACAUGUUGCCAAAAAAGGCUGUGGAGCAUUUAGAUCCAGGCUGGAUGGGGCUUUAAGCAACCUGGUUUAGUGGGAGGUAUUCCUGCCUAUAGCAGCGGGGUUGGAACUAGAUGGUCUUGAAGGUCCCUUCCAACCCAAUUAAUCUAUAACUGCGGAAAUAAUUAUCUGGGAUAAACUGAGAGGUUUGAAGACUUCUGACAGAAGGGAAGGAGUUAGAUGUAUACGUAGGUCAUACUCGUGCUAAGCAGGGCAUUUAGAAGAACUGACCAUCUCACUGCAAUUUUAAACCACAGGCAGAUUAAAAUUUAUGGCUCAAGGGAAGAUUGAUGAAGGAGCUUAUGCAAAAAUAAUGAUGAGAAAGGGAAAGGGGAUAAACUGAGAAAGCUUAAUAUUCUUAGGCAAUUGAAGCAUGAAAAUAUCUAAUAAGUCAAGCAAGAGAAGAAAAUGAAGUAUUGCUGACUUUUGGACUUUCAACUAUUACAUAAAUAUGAGAAAGAACAAUACUUUAAAAAGAGUGGAAACACAAAGACCCAGUUCUGUCCAUCAGCAAUGUAUGGCAGUAUAUAUGAUUAUGUAUUAGAAGAAAAAUAGAAAGAAGAGUAGCAGUACAAUUUAUACUUGGUUGACGGAUGGUCAAGGUUCAAGGAAGUGCAAUAAGGAGCUUUGCAAUUUGACUCUGAUACUUUUUCAAAGUAUAUAGAUUUCCCAGGGCAAGUUAUCUCUGCUGAAUGGUAAGAGUAAUUAGCCUGGAUUCAGCACAGUUCUACUAUAAGUAUUUGAUUCUUUUGUUUGCUUCUUUAUUUUGCUUUGGAGCUUGUUCAGAGAUUUGGUGCUUUGUGAUGCUAAAUUGCACUUCAUGAUCAUGCAUACAAAGCACAAGAUUUACUUGGUUGUCUUUCUCUGCAUAUGAGCUUGCAUAAUUAUUUAUUCAGGCCGAGGUUUGUUUUCUUGUUGAGGUUGUGUUGGCUGAGGGUGCUGCAUGUUCUUUUAGUUGAGAGAGCUUUCAUUAGCCAUUACAAUGCAUUUAAGUGCAAGAACCAUUUUGAUGAAUUCAGAGAAAUGCAAAUGAAAGUUGCUCCAUAAGAAAGAAAGUUGCUCCAUAAAAACAAAUUCUUUUAUAUCACUGACUUUUAUAUCAGUGGCCUAUUACCUGAUUGCAGAAGAUAAGCUCUAUUUUACAAGGGGGUAGGUUUGCAGAACUCUAAAGUAAGUUUUGCAAUUAUGUGCUUAAGUAAACAUUGAAUUACCAUUCCAUCUCCAUUGUUGACACAGUGGUAAUACAGAUGAAUUGUAAUGCAAAAACUAUAGGGUGUUAGCCAUAUAAAUCAAAGUCAUUCCAAAAAAUGUGUUUGGUUUAACUUUAAAUAUACUUCCAAGUACCAAAAGAUAUGUAAAAUUCAGAUGGAUUUUUUCAGAACAAGCAACAUCUUCUACGUGCAUUAGCUGCUACAUCCCUUCUGUCACAUGAGACUUGUGGGUGAACAGCAGAAAUAAGAACAAUUGAAAAAAAAUGCCCUGUAUGAGUAUGGGGUUUUCAGAUUGUCCAUUUAAGUGUUCUACUUUUACAUGAAUCCAGAGGAUUUAUAUCUACCAACCAUGAGUCAAACUCCCUGCUUGUUUUCAAAAUGUUAUCGCAUGGCACAGGAGCCCAGAUGACAGUUCUUAGUGAAAUAACUGAAUUCUCACUACUUAGUUACCUGUUUCCCCUACAAAUCAGUGGAAGCUAUAGGCUGUGCAGUUAGCCUCUCUAAAUCUUCCCCAGCUACACAGUAUAGAAAGCAAUCCUUCCACUCUUGAAUUCACAUUUUAUUUGCCAAGUGGGAGAUCGUAUCUGAAGUACACAUGUUCACCUAGAAAGGAGUAGUCAUGUUCUUCCAUCUACAUAUACACACAGGGAAAGAUAGACUGCAUUUCCACUUCACUUCACUGUAUAUUGCUUCUUGAGUUACUAGGUUUCCUUGUUUGCUAGUGGAAGAAACAGACAAUUACACACUUAAAGUAACCAUCUUAAUCAAAUCUUAAUUGACAAUAAUACAAAUAAAGCAUAAGAAAAAACAGCUUUUUUUCCCCAGUCCGUCUUGAUUUCUUUGAUGUGUAGACUCUGGAGUUUUUUUGGCUUGAAAGCACCUCACCUCCUGAGCACAUUUUUGGAGAUAUAGAAAGUCCUUGAUUAUUAGAACCUAGGGUAGAAAAAUUACACUUGGAUAAGCAUGACUUUCAAGGCUUACACUUAAUGUGGUGUUUUUUCUAUAAUCCUGCAGAAUGGCAGGCUAAAAAUAGGGCAAAAGAUUUUUUUGUAUCUCAAUUCAAAGCAAGAAAUAACAGAAAUAAUGAGUUUAGUUUUAAAAUAAACCAUUCUUUUCCUGAGUUUGCAUUUUGAUUAAUUUUUAUGUUCAUAUUCACAUUUAGGUAACACUAAAUACUGGGCUGUGAAAAUGGUUAACUGUAGAUUACAGUUGUGGUGGGACACAUCCUGUGUUCUUAACAGAUAGUUUUUUGAUUGUACUUAAGCUUAAGAUUUAUACAAAUGAACCUGACAAUUCAGGCCUUAGUUCUACAGUCUCAAAUUCAGUAGGAUUUUAUUUCUUUGGCUGAAACUGACUGUUUCAUCUCAAUAUUACUUAUCUAAACACCUCAGUCAGUCCCUCUUGGUUGCCCUUAUCAGGAAAUAGUUUCUUGGAAAUACGACAGGAAUAUCUUUUUAUAGUUCUUCACUGGGAAGAGGUCCCUUUCAACCUCAGUGAUUCUGUGAUUCUAUGAAACAACAUUGUGAUCAGAGCACUCUUCUGGAAACAGGAAACAGAAUCCACUUAUUGCUAGUGAUGAAUUGUGCAAAAUAGUGUGUCCUAUUUCUGUGAGGAAAAUCCAAAUACAACAUGGGAGAAAUGUUCUUUUGCUUAUUGUAGCUUGUCAGUACAAAGCAUCCAGAGUAAGGGAGAUGAGACCAGAAGUUUCUUUUCUCUGGUAUGAGAAACAAAGGAAAUUUUUGUUUCCGUCUUCACCUUCUCUUUAUGCAUCGUAUACAGGGACUGGGUAUUGUAAAAAAGUCAAGAUUUGUAAGAUCAUCUAACAGCCAUUGUUAGAAAGACAGCUGUACCUGAAAACUUCAGACAGAUUUUCAGAUAUAGCUCUUUUCAAAUCUAAAGCAGACACCAAAUACCAGUUAAAUAGGACCAAAUGUCCUGGUUCUAACCAUGCUGUGUUAAACUUACACAGUUUAGGGGAUACUGAUGAGGAAUUCAGGUUUGUGAGAGAGAGGGGUGGUUAGUAGAGGUGGGAGAAAUUGCUAUGGAUACAAGAGACAGUUUUUCUUCCAAUUGGUGCAAUUUAGUUAGAAUUUUUUCUCCUAUACUUGCCUUAAAAGUGUCAGUAAGUGCUUUUGGAGGUCCAGCUGUGAGGCUCUGGCUUGAGGUCCUGCUUGGCUGUGUAGAACCAUUUCUGUGCUACCCCUAGGACUGUGCUGUUGUGACUGGGACUGUGUAGUGAGCAGUGUCAGAGGAUACUGCUGAGAUGGAAACAAAAAGACAGAGGCAGACAAAAAAGUGGCGAUGGUGGAGGGGGCCUGAGUACAUUUUAAGUCAUGUAAGUGCAGAAUUGAGAUCUGAGAGGUCAGCAAUGGUAUGAUUGCUGCUUGAAGAUUGUUCUUCUGGUAGGCAUCUAUUACUUUGGUUGCUCCAGUGGGCUGAAACUCUUUGAUGCUUAUAGUACUUAGUCAUUAUAUAAAACAGAUGUAUUUUAUUUUCUUGAGGGAUGCUGGAAGCCAGUCAGGAAUCAAAGUAUGCAUUUCUCAUGAAAUGUGGGGGUUAUGUCAGGUCCUUGGAACUGAGGGAGGAAUGCAUGUUUUCUAUUUUUAGGAAGUUAGUCAUGCAUUAUUGUGACAACAAACACAGUAAAACUGUGUGAAUAACUGGUUUUGUCCAUUGGCAGAUGAUCCAAACCUAAAACAAUAUUCAGAUCAACAUCUAGUGAAAAUUUAACAAGUCUCUUUGGUAAUUAUGUUACAUUUUUAUGCUAGUCACAUUUAGAAAACAUGAAAAAAGAAAGUUGGAAACAAAAGUGUGAGAUCCUGAGGUUCUGUUCAGAGAACAGGGAAGAACAGAGACUUGAAUGCCUUGGAAGUUCUCUCAUGUCAUUAGAAAGCAUUGGAGAAGGGCUGCCUCACUUUGUCAUCUCAAGCAUAUACUACCUCAUAACAAACAAGAGUGUUUCAAGCAGAAGUUAGGAAACCUCAUUGAGGCUCUUGCCUGUGGCCUGACCUGCUGCACUUUUAUAUUCUAAUCACAGCGUUUGAAUGGAUGAUAAUACCAUACUUGGAGCAUAUGUUAUAUUUAUUCCUAGUGGCUUGCUUACAAGUUUCCAGUCCUAAUGAAUGAAGUUCACAGAAGUAAUGAAUAUAAAGAAAGGAGGAAUUUAGGGAAAGAGGUUUUGAAUAUUUCUAGUUUUAUCCAGGAUGUAAAACCCGCUUUAUUUGACUCUCCCAGAAAGAAAGAAGCUUCUUGGCUUGUUCUGUAGGUGGCCAUAGUGCUACUUGCUAUAUAUUAUGGAGGAAAGCAAGAGCGACAUUUUGCUGUCAGAGCAUGUUUGAUAUAUAAUUCAUCUCUGACAAGAGAUGGCAAAGUACAUCAUAUUCUAGCAGGACUUUUUCUGUCCCCGUGGAAGAGAUAAAAAUGGUAGGCAAUUUUACGGUACACUCUUUUUGCUAUAUAAGAUCUGUAUGAAACCCUCUCCAUGAAGAACCCUUAUGCUGUUUAUACAGUUAUAGGCAUGAUACAUAAAGGGAAUGACAAUGAAUUUCAGCUCUCUAGAUCAGUUUUAAGUAUGAAUGCUUUAUAAUUUAAAAAAAAAAAAAAAAAAAAAAAGAAAAGCCAGGAAAUACUUUGGCUUAGUGCUAACUUAUACUAUCAGAAGAUGAAAUCUUCAAAAUACGUUCAGCUUUUAACAUACGAGUUGUUGACUUGAAUGAUAAAAAUCCCCUAGCAAAUGUAAUUAAACUUUAAUAAUUAAUAGGCAGUUUUAUUUUUGUAAUUUUCCAAACUAUGAUAAGAAAUGUCUAUUCUCAGAAAGUUAAGUAUAUAGAAUCUCUUUCAGUACCUGUAUUAAACUUGUAAUUCACCUCAACUGAUUAAGAAUAUUUAUGCAAGAGCAGGACAGCAGGGAAUCCGUUUAGGUAAAACACUCCAAAUAACUGUAUGCUUAAGAUUAAGCUGGUAUCUAAAUGCUUGCUACAUCCAGACCAAAGAACAUAAUGAGAUAUUUAAUGAUAAUCUUCAGACUAGAACGUGAGAAAGAAGCAUUUGAUGCAGAAUGAAAGAAAGGGGUUAUUUUUGCUUUUCUCUUUUCCCUCCUCUCCAGCAGCUCAGUUUUAUUCAGUGCAAGUCAUCUUGCAGUGCAGGCUGUUCCCUGCAGGAUUUGUGGAAUUGUGAUGCUCAUGCUCUGUAUCCUGAUUAAAAAGCAAUAGGGCCACCCAAAGUUAAAGUUAAGGUAGAAUCUGAACAGUGGAAGUUAUUCUGAAAGAACAGAAGACAAAGGAAUAGAUAAAGGAUAAAGAAGAGAUGAGUGAAAAAAAGAAUAGAAAAGAGAAAAAAAGUAUGGGUCUGUGAGAAAAGAGAAGAAAAGGGGUGCAUGUGUAUUAAUGAUUACUCUGGAAGCAAAAGGAUAGUUUGUAAAAGAUCCCAAGAGAAAAUCAUUUCUUCAAACCUUCACAGCCAGCACUUUAGUGAAAGUAAUCGAUGGAGAUUUUCUUCCCUUCUUCCCUUUCUUCCUUCCUUUCUGUGUAAUAUGAAUAAGUUAUUAAUUCUACAGCUGUUUUUAUGAGUUUCUGGGGAAUUAGAAAUGAGCACAGCUUGAAGAACAUUAUAUAUACAUGAUUGCAUGGAUCUGGCAACAAAGAGAGAAUUGUAUCUCAUGUUCAGAAUAAUAGUUUUAUGCCAUAAGAUAUAGAUAAUGAAAAGGAAUUAAGAUGAUGAUUUAAUAGCCUUUAAUCCUGGUGAUUGAAUAAGUGAGGUGAUGUCUUGCAAGGCAAGGAAUGACAACAGAAUAUGCUCGCUGUAAUUCCUGAAUGGAUGUAGACACUUCAGUCUUUGAUAGCACUUUCAUGUUUGUUUUUCCCAAGUUACUGCAUUAAAUGCUGUAAAGGCAACUAAAUAGCAAAGAGCGUUGUAACAAAAAAAAAGUAGAGUUUAUCUUGAGAGAGAUGAGAAAGAUUAUGUCUUAGAAUAUUACACUGGGUAAAUGCCCAGUAAAAAGAGGACUGUAAUCACUGACUGAGACCUCCAUUCAGUGAAAGUUAACAACAUAAUAAGAAGAAAUGCAGAUAAUUCCUGGUUUUCAUUUCUGCAACAUAGGGAUGGGUUAUUCUAGAGAGGCUGAAAUAAAAAUUCACUGGCAGAAUGACUCACUGAGGAGUAACUUUGAUGUAAAUGUCUUAUUCUGAUCGUGUCAGAGGUUUAUUAAAUAAACAAGACCCUGACAAGGAGGAGUGCCAAUGACAAAUUUUUGAUUUGUCUUUUGAAAGACAAAUCCUGUAUUUUAGUUGGAAAUAUCCACUACCAAAUGGAUCUUUUCAUUAGUUCAGUUCCCUCAGUGGAAAAUUAUGAAAAGCAGGAUAUGAGCAUGUGUAAGAUCUGUGUAUAUGUUAACUAUCUCACAUAAGACUAGCAUGGAUCCUAAUUUCUGUUUUACCACAGUAAAGGAGAAGACAGGUGUAUUCCUUCUACAUGUAACUGAAAAAUGUUCUUAGGCUACCAGUUUUGUCAUUAGAGCUCAAUUUUCCAUUUUAUCUCCACAUUUUCAUAUUUUCCCAGACAUAUUUUGCCUUCCAUAUUUUGCCAGAGGAGGAUCAUUUGUUGUGGAUAGAAUGGUAGUCGUAACCUAAAAUUUUCAAUGUUGUGUUUGACUUUCAAGAAUUAGCAAAUUCUUUUUCUUAUGAAAUGUUCCUAAGUUUCUGCAUAUUUUCAUGCAAUGUGUGUUUUGAGGCAUGCUACUUACGUAGCAUAUGUAAAUAAAAACUUGUGCAUUUUUGUUAAUGUUCAUGUGUAAGGUUAUUUAAUGUUUUCUUCUAUUUUAUCCAGGAGAUGCAUAUACGAUUAACUACGUGGAGUGUUCCAUAUCUCCUCUCAAACAGAUCAAAGAGAGGAUUGAUUUAGGUACAAGUGGCCCAGAGGGAAGAAACAGCUGAGGUGUAGUAUCUCUUUGAAGAAAUAUCACAGACAACAGAAUUAACAUGGGCAACAAGACACAAUUUUUCACUUGUAUCAUUAACAUUGCAGAUAAAAAUAACUAUGCAAUUUUGAUUUUCAGUUCUCAGUCUGAAUUGUUACUGCAGUAUGGAUGGUAUAAAGAAGAUAAAUCAGGUGACCUUGUUCUUUGUCGUAUAAUGGUCAAAAACACACUAUUUAAGCAAAUAAAUACUCAAGUUAAUUGCAUUUUGAAAUUAAUUGUAUCAUGUAAGCUAAAGAGAGAUUGGUAUAAAGCAGACAUAUUAAUUUUGAGAUUCUCUUAAGUCACAUUUGUUUAGCAGACAGGUUUUUUUCACACAGGAUGUGUCCAUUUGCUGCACUAUCUCAAACAAAGAACAACAUCUGAAUUUUUUAGAAGGAAAUAUAAACUCAAUAGGGAACAUUUAUUCCUUUACAAAGUGAUUUGGUUGACUCAUGCCCUGAAGAAUGACGGCUUGUAUUAGAUAACAGUAAUUAGUUAUAGCAAGUCAUUGUCUUUUAAAAAGAAAUAUCAUUUCUUGCAAGACAGAAACAUCCAAUAAAUAACCAGUCUGAGAGAGGACCUUAAAACAAAUCAAGGUCAGAUCAUGUUAUACAUUUAGAAAACUUAGUUUAUGGAAUACAAGUAAAAGAUUCUAUUUUUUUAUCUUAAAUGAAAAUGUGUAUCAGACAGUAAUGUAGUUCUUGACACAUAAAACUUGGCCCCCACAUCAGGAAUGUAUGUCACAGACAGAUUGGAUGUUCCAUUGUACUGCCACUCCCAUUCCACUGGUUGCAGCAUUCAAUUUUUAUGUUCAAAUGUCAUUAUGAAACAGCUAUUUGUUUUGAGAAAUUACUAAUGAUGGGCGUAUUUUGCUCUCAGUUUUCUAACAGAAACACCGGAGAGUGGGAAUGGCAGCAGGAUAGGAGAUUGUUACAACUGGAGUAAUCCUUACUUGCAAAUUUCUUCUGCCUUUUGAUCUGCCAGCAAGUCCCUCUUCACAGCAGAUGUGAUUUCCAAUAUGUUAACAGCAAUAGAGAUCUCUGCAGAAGUUGAAAAUGAGCAGUACUGACACUCUAAUCUGUGAAGUGGAAGAGAGAUGUCUUGGAAAUUUGGGGCCCAAAAGAAACAGUCUGUUAGGGCCAUGGAGAAGAUUGCCUAGGACAUCCGAAGGCAUUAUUUUAUGCCAGUCAUCUGCAAGGAAUGCAAUCCAAAGCGGUGUGAGAACUGAUCAGUGCUGCACUUGGCAUGAACAUAAGGGCACAUCUGUAUACCUCAAAAUUUAGAAAACUGUGGAGAAAAACAGUGAAGGAAACACCAGCAUUUGUAGUUGUUGCUGAGCAGAGCUGUACAGAGCCAAGAACAUACAGUUUUCCCUGCAAUCUUGCCAGUGAGGAAUAGACCAAAGAUGCUGGGAGUGGGGGACUGAGCCAACAACCACAUAGAGCUAAACUACCUGUCAACUUAAACCAAAGCACUUCAGAGAAACAAAACCAGCAGCUCCGAUGAUCAGAACCAAGCAACCCUGGAAUGUGCAAGAAGGUUCAAAGGAAGGAAAUUAAUGGUGGAAAGGCAGUACUCCUGGGAUGGAGGUAGCUGGAAACUACAGAAGAAUCUGUGCUGAACACAGGUCCGUGGAGGUUAUCUGCAAAAUUAGCAUGCAAACUGGAGCAGCAGUGAGAUGUGGUGUUGGAUUUGUUAUUACUUUCUUUGGGAGAAGGCAUAGAGAAGCUACACUCUCAAUAGCAGGAAUGCAAUCCAAAGCGGUGUGAGAACUGAUCAGUGCUGCACUUGGCAUGAACAUAAGGGCACAUCUGUAUACCUCAAAAUUUAGAAAACUGUGGUGAGUAGAUGGUCUUCAGAUCUCUGGAGCAACACUUUCUCAUCCAGAAACAGUCCCACUCCUCAGUUCCAUUUCAGCUGUAUGGGCUGGUGGCAAUCACUGCUUAAUUGGAAGGUCACUGUGCCACCAGCCUGUUCUUUGCCAUGGCAAAGAGGCAAAGACCCAACCCGCUAAUGAAAAUGAGGCAGACUGGCCUAUACUUGAAGGGAGAAGGUGCUGAGCCAAACAUCUUCAAUUUCUGAAGAGACAAAGUAUACCUUUGCCAAGCUGUUCUCUAGGGAAAGCAAUCCACUUGGUAUUUCUGGGGAAAACUGCAGUUGCUAAGGCCUAUUUCAACAGUGACAACAGUUGAAAUUUAGUAGCACUAUUUCACUUAGCACUCUUUCGGUGCCUCCUGGCAGUCCAUAUUAAUGAACAGUGUGUCAAAACACACAGGAGCAGUAGUAGUUAUCAGUAUCUUUGCACUAUCUAGACACAACAUAAUCAGCUUCAGUACUUUGUGUUUGCUUUUUGUUGGAUGGUUAUUUCUAUUUUUUUAAUUAGUGAUGGAAUAGAAUUUCCCUAGUAAUAAAGAGUUAACUCCUACAUUGCAAUAUGUGUUACUUGCACUGAAGAAUUUUUUAAUCUGGACACUGGAAAAGGCACAAUAGUGUCUGAUAAGUAUACUGAUUAGCUGAUACACUGAUCCCAAAACUCUGAGAUGAAAUAUGUAGCACUGUGUUAUGAGUACAGUAAACCUAGCAGCAAAGACCUUCUUCAUUUUCUCAGACUGACU